GACAACACAAGCCAAGAAAAUAAUGGGAGAGAGUGGGGCUAAAAUGUAACACUACGAACGGCAUGGAAAAGGAGUCCUUUUCUGGCUCUGGAAACGCGCGUGUGGAGCCGCGCGAACCCCGGGACUCGGGCCUUGAAGGGAAGGCCUGUGUUGGGAGAGGACGCGGAGCCGGGCGUCGCCUGUGGAGGCGAGGACGGCCUUGAGCAGACCCUGCUCGCCACAGUGACCACCCACGUGAGCUCCUCCUCUCCACAAGAUGAACGUCCGGACAAGAUGAAGUCCUUUCAUCAUCAGCCAGCUCUUUUCCGAGAGGGAGGCCCAGGCAUGU